ensembl:lncRNA
CUCCAAGAGCACGUGCACGGGCUCCCCGUGUGCCUGGCGUGCCAGAUUCUUCUCCUGCAGCUCCCGGAUCUCCAGGGUUAAUGCUCCGCUCAGAAGGCUGAGAAGUGCUGCCUCUCCACUUUGGGUGGCCGAAGCUGUCCCAAGAUGAGUGAGGUAGAACCCUGGACACCGUGGACAUUGCUGUGGUUGUGGAGAAGAACCUGAACCAAGCCCUUCUGGGUCUUCAUACCCUGGUUCUGCCUGUGCAGACCCCUGUCUCUGUGACGUCCUGGAGAAUCACUUCACAGAUGAGGAGGUGAAACUCAGCAAGAAUUUGGGGAUCCACCUGACAGACUGGCUGCCGUUGGGCCGAUUCCACAUUUAAGCAUAUCAGUUUAAACAGUGCUGGAGUGAUCCAUCCCUUAAAGGUUUGGUGGAACCUGAGGGGCCAACCUCAGCCUGCAGCUGGCACCUGAAAAGAAGGCCUCAGUGACUCAGAUGAUUGAUCCCAGCAGGGCAGUUUCCGUGGAGCCGACCAUAAGCCUCAGAGAUGCAGACUCCCACGUCCUUGGGGUGGGACUCUCCCUCCCUCCAUCCUGGAUCUUCUUGCUGGUCGAGCCUGUAAGAAUUCCACCUGGAGAGGUCACAGCGGAGCUGGUGGGCAGACAGGACCCAGGGAGAGAUGGGCUGGAUUGAGAGG